rnacentral:lncRNA from 1 species
GUGCAGAAGGGAGAAUAGCUCCAAGUUACUCCUCUUAGUUCCUCCAACAGUCCCAGACUAAAAUUAUUCUGAUCUAUUUUUUCAGAAAAGAUUUUAAUGCUUCUAAGUGAAGUAACUGAAUGGAUCAUGGAAUUAGUAACAGGAAUACAGAGCUUUCUGUCCCUGGGUCGCUGGUUCAUACUCAGGAAAGGACAGCGCCUGGGAACAAAUCCUGCUGUAGAAAUGAAAUGAAUCCUAUGUGAUUAAUCCUACCUAUGUGCUUUGCAAGAGCUUCAGGCAACCAUCACGGUUGGACUAAUUUUGUCGUGUUGCAAUUGCCUCUUCAUCUAUGGCUGUGAGAAUAUGUUUUAUAACUGUGAUCCAGUGUAGCCAGCAUCCUCCCCCAGUGGUGUAUACCUCGCCAGCUCCAGAAGUCUCCAAGACUUUGGAAUUCUUCCCAGAUACUGCACACAGCCUGUUCAAGUCAGUAGCUAACCUUACUAGAUUCCUGGUGGAAUGGAUGAAGAAAAGCAACCUUGGUAACAAUCAAAAUAGACAAGCAUCAUCCACACGCAAAUUAUUCUUAGUCAGGUUCAAUCUGUGUAAGCAAUUUUUGGCCUCUAAAGCCAGCAAAUGGAUAUUGUCCAUGACAAGCCCAAAGCAGGCAGCAAUUCUCAAGUGUUACAUUUUCGUGCCACGUACUGAAGCUGCUUAGCUUCUUAGAGGCAGGGACAAAUAUAAUGCAACAAAAAGUUCAUGCAUGUGGAGGUUUGCUUGGAGCACAAGGACACUUCAGCCUAGCCUCUUCACAUUCUUCCUGGAAUAUACUUUAGAACUGUGGAUGGAUGGAUGACUAAACCCUUGCCACCUCUGGCUGUUGUGACAUGUUACAAUACUAACACAAAAUUUGCAAGGACUGAGUAUGAGUUGUACUGCAUAAAUAAUUCCAUCAGUGUAGCAGUAUCUAGGUCAAUGCUUUUUCACACAUAUGUCUACUUUUUGAAACAUGCAUGGACUAUGGUAACACCAUGGAGAUGUUUUAGAAAGAAGAAUUAGUCUUAGAAAUGUUUUUGUGAACGCUUCUUUGCACAGGAAGGAUUGUGAUCCAAAUUACAAAUGGUCUGGUCACGUAGCCUGGGGUGUGUUAGAAUUGGCAGGUGAAUGGAAGGAGGCUUGACAGGGCAAUGCUGAACCCAUGCAAGCAGUGGCCAGUUGCUAAGCGAAACAACCUGCAGACACAAACAAGGAAAUGUUCGGGACACCCAGUGUCAGGCAGAGGAUGGGCUGCUGUAUCUUUGGGCUUGAUUCACUUGCCCAAAUGUGCAACUCCAGUACUGCCAAUCUGAGAUGCUGCAGGGCAAGGCCCACACAGGACGAGCGUGGGUCAUCCUGGUAGGCUUUGUCAUUUCUGCCAGCCUCGUGAGGCUGUUUCAGCUGUCCCAAGGCAUUUCAAAUGGCAUUAGCUGUAUGCACUCAGGUAGCUGACUCAUGCCCUUUACUUCUGCUGAUACUGUGGCAUGACAUCUUUCAUGAAAAAAUGUUGGACUGGUACCACACACGCUAUAAUUUUGGCAGCACUAGGAAAUCCAAUGGGAAUUUUUAAAUGUCUUAAUAUAGAGAGAAUGUAACUAAGAACAAUAUAUUUUCACAAUAACUGCUUUUAUCAUGCAAGAACAUGAAUGUAUAUACAUGUAUAAACAUAUAUAUGUGCAUAUAUGAAUGUAUAUGAAUAGAUAUGCACUCAUCCGUAUACAUACAUGAAAAAAUACCCUGAAUUGUCUUAGACAACAUAGUUGAACCUCCAUCUUAGGAAGGAUCUUUAACUUGUCGUUCCAUCAGCAGUUAAAAGAGCAGAGCCUGCCCUCCUCCAGCCCGUGGAGGUUCCUUCCUGCUGGGUGAAGGUAUGUGCGUGUGCAGUUUAGCCAUGCAGGAAGAGCAGCUCCUUCACGUGCCCGUGGGGAUGGUGGCUGUGGCCUCACAAAAGGAGAAGACCUCCUCCUGACUGCAGGAGACCUCCUCUCCAGCAGGUCCUUUGGACUCAGCUGAAUUUCUACAUGCACACAACUGCUAAGGCUCCUCAUGAGUUCCUGAGGAGCUUGACUAUAGAAUUACGGACUGAAACUGGCCAAUGAGUUUAAAAAUUACUCAAGGUCUGAAAGAGGAAGGUGUGGGGGAGAAGGGAGAUAAAUUGAUUGAGUCAGUACUUGUGUUGUACUAUUUUGGGUCCUGUAGCUAGUCACUCCUCAUUUGCAAACCCAGUCUGAGUGUAAUACAUGAAUCUUUUACUAAGAUACAUGGCCUCAGAACUUGUGAAAAGGUAUCUUCAGCACACAACGAAUUAGAGGUAAAGCCACUGUAAAUUCACUAAGGGAAAGACAGAGGUUUAGCAACCUCACAAAUCUGCAUUAUGUAUCACUGCCACUGCCACCUUCUCUCCUCCAGCCCAGAGAGAUGCCCAUCUGCAUAAACACUAAACAGAAAGCAUCACAGGAGUAGCAUUUUCUGAUUGCUAAUGCACAGUAUUGAUGUGUUCUGUCAAUGGGAAUUUCUUUGCUCCUUUUUUACUACAGCACUGAGCUUCCUGUUGUCCAGCGAAUUCCCUGUGUAAUGCUGGCAGCUACAUCAGCAUGCUAACAGACAUCUUCACCACCAGGGCCUUACAGGAGGCUACUGAGGUUUUAAACACAGUAAAGAUUAAACUCAAUAAAUUAGUCUGCUUUCCUUGGUAAUGAUCUAUUUAUGAGGCAUAAAGGAUCAUCAAGCAGGAAAUACAGUGACCGUGGAGAUCCAUAAGCAAUCUGAGGGAAACUAAUGCACAGCUCAGGGCAACCUGCUAUCAGUGUGCCACAGGAUGUGGUCUUGAAUGGAAACACCAAGGGAGGCUGUGACCUGCAAAUCUGGAUGACAGACCUGACAGUGGGCAGGAGUUUGCUGCCAGUGAGGCUGGAUGUAGAAACGUAAUUUCCAUUAUUCUAAUACCGGGUGAUAAGCAAAGUAUUAAAAAACAAUUGCGUAAAUGUGGAGGAAAGGAGUCACAAUGCCUCUCCACAACCUACCAUUCUCUUACCUACAUUUCAGGCAUAUGGAAGGAAGAAAUUAUUAAAUGUAUUAAAAAAAAAAAAGAAGAAGGAAACACCAACUAGAUAAUACUAGCUGAGACUUCGUGAAACACAGGGGAAAACACUGAACAAUUUCUGAUUUAGAGUCUCAACUGAUUCUCACUGAAGUCCUUGGAAACAUUUUCAGGGCUCCCUAAAGAUUAAGCUUUUAGAAUCAAGAGCCUCUUAUGAAAUUCUCAACAGCAGUGAACUCACUCUGGUAAGAACACACAGACCUGGUCCAGCAUUUCCAUGCCUGCAGAAGAGAGAUCCCUGGGGCAGAAGAGCCUGUUGGCUGCACAGCUGGUCCCGCUGGUCCUGUGUCUAUCUGCCCAGUCUGCAGAAACCCAGGGAAGAGAAAAAGGAUCACAGAACACCUCGGCUGAAGAAAGGCAGAUUGCAAAAGUGUCUUGGCACACUUUCACAUUGUGAUGUUAGGAAGAUAAAAUCCAAAAUCCUGUAGCCUUACCUGAAAUUUCUGCAGUUGGUUACCUGAAGUUUCUGCAGUUGUGGGGAGAAGGAAUGAGUUGCAAGGUGCUGUUUGCUGUUUACCUUUUCCAAAACAAUCAUUAUUAGCAAUGAUACAUGAAAGGGUUGUGGUGAAUACCAGCUGAGAAGUAGAAAUGAAGGCAGACCAUGGCUCCUGUUAGCACCAUUCGAAGGGGAACACGCUGCCAUGUCCUAAGGAACUGAGGCAGCAAUGGUGGAGAGGAAAUCAUGGUGCCAAGCACUAUGGAGAGAUCCAUAGGGGAACAAAGUCACUCCUGUGUGAAGUCCUGGGGGAAUGGACACAGUCUCUUCUUGCUCUAGCUGUUUGCAUGCUGUGGGCACGCUGCACACCUCACAGGAUCCAGUGGGUAUUUGUUCUGUACAGCUGGAGACACUGAGGAGGACUGCUCCACCUUCCUCCACACUGGUGUGUCAAACACCACAGCACGAAGGCACCGCUGAUCAUGGGCUUGACCUUAUUUACAAGACAUAGUUGCUUCUCAAAAGAAAAGCAUCAAAGGCUUACGCAGCAUUAAUUUGCAAAUUUAAUUAAAGAGUUUUAGCAAAGUUUUCUUUUCCUGUGUGGAAGCAAUUCAGAAUAGAAAGUUGCACAGAAGAUUAGAUCAUGUAAUACAGCUACUUACUGCAUAAAGAUAGCUCCAGCCUAAACAGAGUAUUUUACUUUGUACAGAACAGCUUUCAUGGUGAGCCACCAUGAAAUGAGAUGAACACCAAGUGCAUACAAAACAUAACCGAGGAGAACACAAACACAGCAGGUGCCAGGCAGCCCGCAGUGGGGGCAGUGCCCCACACACCAUGCUGCGUGCCAAGGGACGCCCUGCUGCAUGGAACACCUGGGCUGUUCUGGGGCUCAGCAUGCCUUCCUGCUCUGUACUUAGCGUAGUUAAAAUGUAUUUACUUUGAGAUCAGUUUUGAAACAAAAAUCCAG